CCUGUUACUACGACGGGCGCUACUGGACCAUGUGGAAGCUGCCCAUGUUCGGCUGCACCGAGGCCACCCAGGUGUACGCUGAGCUCGAGGAGUGCAAGAAGGCCUACCCUGACUGUUACAUCCGUGUCAUCGGCUUCGACAACCUCAGGCAGGUGCAAUGCGUCCUGUUCAUCGCCUACAAGCCCCCGGGCAGCGAGUAGACCGGCGCCGCCAAAUAAAAAGCUUAAAUACUGAGACUCUUCAGCUCCUGCAUGGGCAACCAUGAAGUGUCUGUUCGUUUUUUUUUUUGCUUCGUGUCACCUUGAUUUUGUUUUUUUUUUCCUUGCUUGCUUCUGCUGUAUCCAUGGCAUGCAUGCGGAUCUCUCCCCCCAAC
rnacentral:lncRNA from 1 species